UGGAGGACUGAGAAGGUUGAGCAGCUUGUGUUGUGCUGUUAUAACUGGUUAUAACCUCCAAGAGUAACAAACAAACCACAAAAUUUACUGGCUCUGUUGUAAUAAACAGAGCUGAUGUGUGUGUUUGUGAACACAAC
rnacentral:snoRNA from 1 species